CAGAGCAUCCUACGGGAGGCAGCAGUGGGGAAUAUUGCACAAUGGGCGCAAGCCUGAUGCAGCCAUGCCGCGUGUAUGAAGAAGGCCUUCGGGUUGUAAAGUACUUUCAGCAGUGAGGAAGGUGGGUAUGUUAAUAGCAUAUUCAUUUGACGUUAGCUGCAGAAGAAGCACCGGCUAACUCCGUGCCAGCAGCCGCGGUAAUACGGAGGGUGCGAGCGUUAAUCGGAAUUACUGGGCGUAAAGCGCAUGCAGGUGGUUUGUUAAGUCAGAUGUGAAAGCCCGGGGCUCAACCUCGGAAUUGCAUUUGAAACUGGCAAACUAGAGUACUGUAGAGGGGGUAGAAUUUCAGGUGUAGCGGUGAAAUGCGUAGAGAUCUGAAGGAAUACCGGUGGCGAAGGCGGCCCCCUGGACAGAUACUGACACUCAGAUGCGAAAGCGUGGGGAGCAAACAGGAUUAGAUACCCUGGUAG
rnacentral:rRNA from 1 species